rnacentral:rRNA from 1 species
AUGCAAGUCGAGCGGCAGCGACAUCAACAAUCCUUCGGGUGCAGUUGAUGGGCGGCGAGCGGCGGACGGGUGAGUAAUGCCUGGGAACAUGCCUUAGUGUGGGGGAUAACCAUUGGAAACGAUGGCUAAUACCGCAUAAUCUCUACGGAGCAAAGCGGGGGACCUUCGGGCCUCGCGCGCUAAGAUUGGCCCAGGUGGGAUUAGCUAGUAGGUGGGGUAACGGCUCACCUAGGCGACGAUCCCUAGCUGGUCUGAGAGGAUGAUCAGCCACACUGGAACUGAGACACGGUCCAGACUCCUACGGGAGGCAGCAGUGGGGAAUAUUGCACAAUGGGGGAAACCCUGAUGCAGCCAUGCCGCGUGUGUGAAGAAGGCCUUCGGGUUGUAAAGCACUUUCAGCAGUGAGGAAGAGGUGGUGUUUAAUAGAUGCCAUCUUUGACGUUAGCUGCAGAAGAAGCACCGGCUAACUCCGUGCCAGCAGCCGCGGUAAUACGGAGGGUGCGAGCGUUAAUCGGAAUUACUGGGCGUAAAGCGCAUGCAGGCGGCGUGUUAAGCCAGAUGUGAAAGCCCGGGGCUCAACCUCGGAAUCGCAUUUGGAACUGGCAUGCUAGAGUCUUGUAGAGGGGGGUAGAAUUUCAGGUGUAGCGGUGAAAUGCGUAGAGAUCUGAAGGAAUACCGGUGGCGAAGGCG